GGUUGUGGCUCAGUGGUAGAGGACUUGUCUAGCAUGCAUGAGGCAUUAGGUUCAAUUCCUGACACCA
rnacentral:tRNA from 1 species